CGAGUCAUAAAGUAACACUAUGACGUCAGUAGAGCUGUUGAAUCAAUCGUAGCAUCACGUGAAGUCAUUCACUUCUUAAUGGGGUCUUUCCACAUGUCAAAACUCAGGAAGUGAUGUCACUACUAUUGACCAUGUACAACUCCGACAGAUCCCCCCCCCAAA